UGUAUUUAUUAGAUUAAAAACCAAUGCCCUUCGGGGCUCCUUGGUGAUUCAUAAUAACUUAACGAAUCGCAUGGCCUUGUGCCGGCGAUGGUUCAUUCAAAUUUCUGCCCUAUCAACUUUCGAUGGUAGUAUAUGGGACUACCAUGGUUUCAACGGGUAACGGGGAAUUAGGGUUCUAUUCCGGAGAGGGAGCCUGAGAAACGGCUACCACAUCCAAGGAAGGCAGCAGGCGCGCAAAUUACCCAAUCCCGACACGGGGAGGUAGUGACAAUAAAUACUGAUACAGGGCUCUUUUGGGUCUUGUAAUUGGAAUGAGUACAAUUUAAAUCCCUUAACGAGGAACAAUUGGAGGGCAAGUCUGGUGCCAGCAGCCGCGGUAAUACCAGCUCCAAUAGCGUAUAUUAAAGUUGUUGCAGUUAAAAAGCUCGUAGUUGAACCUUGGGCCUGGCUGGCCGGUCCGCCUCACCGCGUGCACUGGUCCGGCCGGGUCUUUCCUCCUGGGGAGCCGCAUGCCCUUCACUGNGGUGUGUCGGGGAACCAGG
rnacentral:rRNA from 1 species